GACGAACCGUGCGAACGUUAUUCGGAAUCACUGGGCUUAAAGCGCGUGUAGGCGGGCCGCCACGUCGGCUGCUGAAAUCCCCCGGCUCAACCGGGGAACGGGCACCGAUACGAGCGGCCUCGAGGGGGGUAGGGGGGUCUGGAACUUCCGGUGGAGCGGUGAAAUGCGUUGAGAUCGGAAGGAACGCCCGUGGCGAAGGCGAUCACCUGGGGUUAUUCUGACGCUGAGGAGCGAAAGCUAGGGGAGCAAACGGG
rnacentral:rRNA from 1 species